AUUGAACGCUGGCGGCAGGCCUAACACAUGCAAGUCGAUCGAGCGGCGGACGGGUGAGUAAUGUAUGGGGACUGCCCGAUAGAGGGGGAUAACUACUGGAAACGGUGGCUAAUACCGCCUACUGUCGGAUAACCCAUAUGGGAUUAGCUAGUAGGUAAGGUAAUGGCUUACCUAGGCGACGAUCCCUAGCUGGUCUGAGAGGAUGAUCAGCAACACUGGAACUGAGACAAGGUACAGACUCCUACGGAGGCAGCAGUGGGGAAUAUUGCACAAUGGGCGAAAGCCUGAUGCAGCCAUGCCGCGUGUAUGAAGAAGGCCCUAGGGUUGUAAAGUACUUUCAGUGGGGAGGCGUUACCGACAGAAGAAGCACCGGCUAACUCCGUGCCAGCAGCCGCGGUAAUAC
rnacentral:rRNA from 1 species